rnacentral:lncRNA from 1 species
AGGUUCUAUUUGAGAUUCUGAAUGAAAUUAGGGACCUAUUGAAACAUUAAACCUAUAAAUAUUUAUUCAAAUACUAGACGUCACCCUCUUUACUAUUCGACGUGUCUAUAAACAACAAGUAAGGUCACUUUGCAUAAAUCGACGUCAACAUUACAUUAUACCUCUUAUUAUGUGACGUCAACUUUACGUCUCCUCCUCAUACAUUAGACGCC